rnacentral:lncRNA from 1 species
AAAAGUACAAGAAAUAGAAAUACAUAUACAGAAAAAUAAAUAAUAAGUAAAUAAUGUAAAUAUAUAAUAUAUGAAUUAUAUAUAUAAUAAUAAGUAAAUACACAUUUUUUUAAGAAAAUAGAAAAAGUUCAUUAAGCAUUAAACAUCUAUCUUAAAAUGUAAAAUAUAUAAUAUAAGUAAAUACACAAUUAAAAAAAAUGGAAAAAGUACAUUAAGAUUUAAAUAUCUAUUUUAAAAUAUAAAAUAUAGAUAUUACGUAAGUAGAAAUAUAAGAAAUGGAAAUAAACAUUUAAAAAAAUGAAAAAAGUAUAUUAAGAUUUAAACAUCUAUCUUAAAAUGUACAUCUAUCUUAAAAUGGUAGUAAAUUAUAUAAAAAUGGAAAUACCACAUUAAACAAAAAAAAAUGUAUAGUUUUACAUCAAGAAAGUUCCUAUCAAACUCAUUAUCCCAUCAACAUCAACCUCACACUAUCAAGGAAAACUUCAAAGCACUCGAGCAAAAAAAAUAGUUCCACCAUCAACUCUUGCCGUCCCAAAAACCUUUAAUAACCUUGAAGGAGAUUUUUUAUAACAACGAACUUUUUGUUAGGUGGAUUCAUUGUUGGAAAACACGCAACUUCCAAAAGCCAAGCUUAUUAAUGGGAAUUGAAUUGUUU